rnacentral:rRNA from 1 species
CCUACGGGAGGCAGCAGUGAGGAAUAUUGGUCAAUGGGCGAGAGCCUGAUCCAGCCAAGUCGCGUGAGGGAUGACGGCUCUAUGGUUUGUAAACUUCUUUUAUAUGGGCGUAAAGUGAGGAACGUGUUCCUUUUUGUAUGUACAACAUGAUUAAGCAUCGGCUAACUCCGUGCCAGCAGCCGCGGUAAUACGGAGGUGGCGAGCGUUAUCCGGAUUUAGUGGGUUUAAAGGGUGCGUAGGUGGUUAAUUAAGUCAGCGGUGAAAGUUUGUGGCUCAACCAUAAUAUUGCAGUUGAAACUGGUUGACUUGAGUAUAGGAGAGGAAGACGGAAUUCGUGGUGUAGCGGUGAAAUGCAUAGAUAUCACGCAGAACUCCGGUUGCGAAGGCAGCUUACUAAACUAUAACUGACACUGAAGCACGAAAGCGUGGGGAUCAAACAGGAUUAGAUACCCUAGUAGUC